rnacentral:rRNA from 1 species
CCUACGGGAGGCAGCAGUGGGGGAUAUUGCACAAUGGGGGAAACCCUGAUGCAGCGACGCCGCGUGGAUGAAGAAGCGCCUCGGCGCGUAAAGCCCUGUCAGCAGGGAAGAAAAUUGCGGUACCUGAAGAAGAAGCCCCGGCUAACUACGUGCCAGCAGCCGCGGUACUACGUAGGGGGCAAGCGUUAGCCGGAUUUACUGGGUGUAAAGGGGGCGCAGAAGGCUUUGCAAGCCAGGAGUGAAAGCGCGGGGCCCAACCCCGGGACUGCGCUUGGAACUGCGUGGCUAGAGUGAAGGAGGGGCAGGCGGAAUUCCUGGUGUAGCGGUGAAAUGCGUAGAUAUCAGGAGGAACACCGGUGGCGAAGGCGGCCUGCUGGACUGCAACUGACGUUGAGGCCCGAAAGCGUGGGGAGCAAACAGGAUUAGAUACCCCAGUAGUC